AGCGAACGCUGGCGGUAGGCCUAACACAUGCAAGUCGAACGGCAGCACAGUAAGAGCUUGCUCUUACGGGCGGAGAGUGGCGGAAGGGGCAGGAAGACAUGGGAAUAUACUUUUUCGGGGGGGCUAACGUAGGGAAACUUACGCUAAUACAGCAUACAUCCUCCGGGUGAAAGCAGGGGAUCUUCUAACCUUGCGCGAAGGAAUAAGCCGAUGUCGGCUUCGCUAGUUUGCGGGGUAAAGGCCAACCAAGGCCACGAUCCGUAGGUGGUCUCAGAGGAUGGACCGCCACACUGGAACUGAGACACGGUCCCGACACCUAGAGUAGGAACCAGUCGGGAAUCUUGCGCAAUGGACGCAAGCCUGAUCCAGCAAUACGGCGUAGAUGAAGAAGCCCUUCGGGUUCUUGAGUCAUUUAGUUCGGAGAGAAGAACAGCAGGUUAAUACCGCGCGAUUAUGACAGUACCCAAAGAAUAAGCACCGGCUAACUCCGUG
rnacentral:rRNA from 1 species